ACACGACUACAUUAGAUACCCCCGUAGUCCUAGCCGUAAACGAUACUCGCUAGGUGUCGGCCACGGUGCGACCGUUGUCGGUGCCGUAGGGAAGCCGUGAAGCGAGCCACCUGGGAAGUACGGCCGCAAGGCUGAAACUUAAAGGAAUUGGCGGGGGGGCACCACAACGGGUGGAGCUUGCGGUUUAAUUGGAUUCAACGCCGGAAAUCUUACCGGGACCGACAGCAACAUGAAGGCCAGGCUGAAGACUUUGCCGGAUUAGCUG
rnacentral:rRNA from 1 species